rnacentral:rRNA from 1 species
UACAGAGGGGGCAAGCGUUGUUCGGAAUUACUGGGCGUAAAGGGCGCGUAGGUGGCCUUCUAAGUUGAACGUGAAAUCCCUGGGCCUCAACCCCAGGAACGUGCGUCCAAGACUGGGAGGCUUGAAUCCGGGAGAGGGAUGCGGAAUUCCAGGUGUAGCGGUGAAAUGGCGUAGAUAUCUGGAGGAAGACCAGUGGCGAAGGCGGGUCUCUGGACAGUUCCUGACACUGAGA